rnacentral:lncRNA from 1 species
AAGUCUGACAGGCUUGAAGAAGUCUGGGCAUUAUUUGGACAAAGCCCUCAGGCACAGGGUGUGAUUCUUGGGGAUGUCCUGUCCAGGGCCAGGAUCUGGACUUGAUGAUCCUGAUGGGUCCCUUGAGCUCAGCACAUUCUGUGAUUCUGUUGGAAUACAGUCAGUGGUAAAUUGGACAAGUUAGGGCACAGGUAGAUUUAGUGCAAGCAGUAGAGAGGCCCUGAAGACUCAGGGAUAACAGAGAACACAGCAGUCAUUUGCUACACACCUAAUGCAAAUGCUAGAAUGGGUCUGUUGCAACAACUCCACCUAUUCAAUCAUUUGAAUAAUUUGAGGCAUUUGGCUUCCUUACCCUUUCAGAAGCAGUCUGAGUGCUGCUUUUGCUGACAGCCAUUCAUUCACGUGUCUCUUCAGGACAGCUCAUGAAUCUGCUUGCACCUCCUUAGCUCCCAGGCCUGGAUUUAUGCAUUUCAUCAGCCAUCUACUUUGGAGAGGAAUGGCAUAAAUUUCAACACAUCUGCUAUUUUUGCCUGCAAAAUAUUCAAAAUUGUUUCUGCAGAAGCUACGGGCAGCAGUGGGGGACAUUUAUUUAAAGAAACUUGGAACAAUGGAUCACUAGUGAUUAAAAUAAAAAUGGAAAUUACAUUCUGGAUGUAGGAGGCAAAUGAGUAUUGCAUUUACAAUACUCUGGCAUUUAGCAUAUAUGAACCAUCAUUGAAUAGUUGCAUUUUGGAAAUUUUGAAACCUGGUUGUCUUUUGAAAAAUGCAGAUUCAAGCUUCUCAUUUUAUGCUAAUGUGAAGAGGUAAAGGAGAAUACCAGUUUGUUGAAACAAGUGAAUUAGCAUGUGAAUGGCGCAUAUUGGACUUCUCCCUCUUGAAAUGGAGGCUUUCAAAGUACAAAGUAGGAUUUAAAUCUCACACUGUGAUUUUUCCCUUCUCAGAGCCCCAAAUCAUGUUACUUGUAGUGCAUUAAUAGGCUUUGAGCCUGUACCCCAUCGACUAGAGGUGCUGUCAUUUUUACUAAUAGCCAUAAUCUACAAAUCUUGCAAUCAAUGAAACAACCUGUUUUCUCUCCCCAUUCCUAAUUCUUCUUUUGGAUCUCACUUUCAGUUUUCAGAGCUGAUGGUUAUGAAAACAUUUCCAAAGUAAGAAUGUGAAUGGCAAGCCGGCCUGGACUCUCUCCUUCCUCAUCAAAUCCUUUUUUUUCUGAGGACUGCACUGUCAGCCUUGCCAGAGAGGUUUGCCUUCAGUGCUGAUUUACUCCUUGCAAAUAAGAUGGGCUUGCAGCAAUAUAUUGCUGACAAAGCUAGGCUGCAGUGACACAGGAGAAUUAGUGCUGCUAAAGAGAAGAGACUUGGGGAGGUAAUUUCAGGAAUGUUUCCAGCACCUGAGUGACUAAAAUCUCACAGCUCAAACAGCCUAAUCCCAUGCUGCAACAAGUCAAGCCACCAUAAGCAGACUCUGACAUUUUUUGCUCAUGUGAAGUAGAAACUCAGGAAUCUCU